AUGGAGGAGAACACUACUCGACACAUCAAGGUCGACGAUAUGGAGCCUGCCAUCUUCCAGGCCCUCCUCCACUUCAUCUACACCGAUACCUUCCCACAUAACAGUGGUAUAGACAAGAAUGUGCCACUGGAACACUUGUUCGUUGCCGCGGAUUGGUAUGGCCUGGAUAGGCUUGCGACAAUGUGUGAACAAAGGCUAUGCAACAGCAUCGAUGUGCACACAUUUGCCACCACACUUGCCUUAGCGGAGCAGCACCAAUGCGUGCAACUCAAGCAAGCAUGCCUUAGAUUCAUGUCCUCUCAUGAUGUACUCAGUGACAUCCAGGAGACCGAUGGAUUCAAGCAUCUCAUAUCCAGCUGCCCUUCGGUUGUAGGGGGCAUCAUAAACAACAUCGCCGUGUGGUAG
rnacentral:rRNA from 1 species